UAUAAAUAUUUAACUUUGAAACUGCGAAUGGCUCAUUAUAUCAGUUAUAGUUUAUUUGAUGAAAAGUACUACUUGGAUAACCGUAGUAAUUCUAGAGCUAAUACAUGAUAAAAUCCUCGACUUUGAAGAGGUGUAUUUAUUAGAAUGAAACCAAUAGACUUCGGUCUGUUUGUGAGUAAUAAUAACUAAUCGUAUCGCAUGCUUAGGUAGCGAUAUGUCUUUCAAGUUUCUGCCCUAUCAGCUUUGGAUGGUAGUGUAUUGGACUACCAUGGCAGUAACGGGUAACGAAGAAUUUGGGUUCGAUUUCGGAGAGGGAGCCUGAGAGAUGGCUACCACAUCCAAGGAAGGCAGCAGGCGCGUAAAUUACCCAAUCCUGACAUAGGGAGGUAGUGACAAUAAAUCACAAUGCGGAACUAUUAGUUUUGCAAUUGGAUUGAGAACAAUGUACAAAUGUUAUCGAUAAACAAUUGGAGGGCAAGUCUGGUGCCAGCAGCCGCG
rnacentral:rRNA from 1 species